GACGAACGCUGGCGGCGUGCUUAACACAUGCAAGUCGAACGGGCAGGCCCUGCUCUUGUGGGGUGCUCGAUUGGCGAACGGGUGAGUAACACGUGAGUAACCUGUCCUUGUCUUUGGGAUAACUUUAGGAAACUGGGGCUAAUACCGGAUAUGAGCUCCUGCUGCAUGGUGGGGGUUGGAAAGUGCCGGCGGUGGUGGAUGGACUGGCUGCUUAUCAGCUGGUUGGUGGGGUAGUGGCAUACAAAGGCUUUGACGGGUAGCCGGCCUUAGAGGGGUGACGGGCACAUUGGGACUAAGAUACGGCGCAGUAUGGUACGGGACGCAGCAGGGGGGAAUCUGGCACAACGGGCGCACGCGAGAUGAAGCGGCGCCGCGUGCGGGAAGACGGCCUUCGGGGUGUAAACAGAUUUCGAAGGUGACGAAGAGUGAGUGACGGUAAUGGGUAAAGAAGCAACGGCUAACUACGUG
rnacentral:rRNA from 1 species